GUGAGUCAUCGAAUCUUUGAACGCACAUUGCGCCCCUUGGUAUUCCAUGGGGCAUGCCUGUUCGAGCGUCAUCUACACCCUCAAGCACUGCUUGGUGUUGGGCGUCUGUCCCGCCUUUGCGCGUGGACUCGCCCCAAAGUCAUUGGCAGCGGUCUCUAGCACCUCAACGCGCAGUACAAUGCGUUCAUUGGGGUGCCGUGGGCGCGACCAUAAAGCUUUUACCGUCUUUGACCUCGGAUCAGGUAGGGAUACCCGCUGAACUUAAGCAUAUCAAUAAGCGGAGGA
rnacentral:misc_RNA from 1 species